rnacentral:lncRNA from 1 species
AUCCGAAACAAAGAUAGUUAUUCUAUAGCUCCGUUAUAGCUAUCGUCCUAUUCUACAAUAACUGUCUUCCAGCUAUACUACAGCUAAUCACUACAUACGCGAACAACCGACAAUCUCUAUGCAGCUGGCUAUUCUAUUAUAACAAACUAAUGAUCUUACGAAUUUCUAAUGGUCUAAUAAAUUCUCCUAACGAUCUAAGCAAACUCUCUCUAUAUAAAGAGGGGCAGAAUACUCUCUGCAAGAUAAGUCAUAAUUCAAAGAGCUCAGAUUGUGCUGAAC